GCAGUCAGCCUUACUUGUAACAGCUCACCCCGCUAAAAAGGCAAGGAAAAGAAAGCCUGAGACAGAAAUGGCUGCAACGAAAUAGGCUCUGGAUAAAGAAAGAAAGUCAGACCCUAGUCAACAUCGGUGCGGCGUUUGAGUGGUGGAGACAGCUGGGGCAUGUGAAGGGCCUGAAAAGUGAUGCAGAGAUUGCUCUCUCUCUGUUGCACAGCCAUGAGAAUGGCUAAUGAGUCGGCCCAGCUUCCACUGGAUAUGGAUCCGCUGUGUUGCGGCUCCGAUCCGGUUUGCUCCACCUUCCAGCAGUCCCCACCAGUUGCGGUUUGAGUCCACCACGGUGCAGUACGGUAGACAGCUGGCCUCAAGACGUGUGCUGGUGUCAACAUGGAGUGUUUUAUUUUGAAGUUACCGGAUGUUGUUUGUUAUUUUGGCGCUUUACUUCCUGUCUGCUCCGUGCUAAAUUCAGCUGAAUUGCUUCUUUGUGCUCAGGCAUCUCCUUCUCCCUGCUGAGUCCCACUGUCAGAUGCACAUUCAAAUUUGUGGGGGCGUGGCUUUGGAGGGAGCACUGACGGUAUGGCUUAAUUAUUUUUGAACAAUAAGUGAUCAUAAUCAUAUCGCAUCUUUUCACGUAGACAAAAUUCCAAUUGUAAGCAUGGUAAAGUUUUGGGAAGGUAAAACAUGAUUUCGAAACAUUAAAUACAAUAGUUUAGUUAGAUUGAACUUUUGUGAGCCUAAACUCAGAUCACAGGAGCAGUGACCCUGUCAUCUGGCCCCCCCUCUUCAGUCUGCCUGCUGCAGGUCAUAAAAAGAGAGACAUGCUCUGCUCCUCACUUCUCUUAUUUUCUUCUUCUUCUUCUUCUUCUUCUUCUUCUCUCUUCUCUGCUACUUCUACUUCUUCUCUUCUCUGCUUCUCUUUUCUUUUUCUUUUUAAAGUAAUCUUUAUUUAUAUUUUUGCAACAAGCUCUAAGAAAAGCAAAUUGAAUCACUACUUUAAGUGCUUUUUUAACAGAACGAAAUUCUUUUCUUUUUGAUUUUUGAUUUUCAAUAUAUCGUUAAAGUAUCACCGCCUGAUCCAGAAGAAGUUGGAUUAGUUUAAGAAUCAGAACUUAAGAACCACCACUUGAAACAACAAAGAAAAAUUAUUUUCCAAGACUAUGAUCAUUUGAUGAAGAAUGUUGCAGUCCUUGUCUGCUUCAGAAGCCUUGCAAGGAGUCUUCAAUGAAAGAGACUUUGUGUGCUCCCAGAGAUCGACUCUGCCCCCUCCGCUCCCAAUGUGGAAACCCUGCUGGGCCUUUGGCUAUUGGACCGACACGCCGUGCCGUAGUCCAACCCAGAACUCUGGAUCCACACAUGCGAGAACGAGUUGGUGUCUAAAGUUCUGACAUCUGUCUAGGGUCUGACUUCUGUCUAAGUUCUGACCUCUAUCUUAUGAACUUAAGAGUAUUGAGAUUAAGGUCUAAUUAAAAAUUACUCCCAUAAUAUUUAACCCUUUAACUUUACCAUCUGCCAACGGUCACAUGACUUUAUUACUUUGCUUAUUACAAUCUUUACUUUUCUGUUAUCUGUUGUUGUUGUCUAAAAUUGUCAUUACAUUUAUUUUACCUCAAAUUUUUUAAUCAUGUCAUGUCAUGUCAUUGUUCGUAACCGCUUAUCCCUUUCCAUAGUCAGUAAACAUAUGUAAUCGUUUGUCAUUUGGAACUUAAUUUUAAUGUGGAGAACCGAUGGAUAUGUCAAUAGAAGUCACUGCUUCAGGAUAUGAGACCGAUUAAUUGAUUUGGUAUUGAUUCCAACUGUUCAAGCCAAGCUUGUACAGUGGGAUUUUGAAUAAUGUCCUUCAGAUUAUUCAAAAUAAUUAAACAACGAAGGCGGCCCACAAUACCUUUCAUGUUUUUAUUGUUUGCAAGAAGUUCUGGUUACCUUUCCUGGAGCCUUUUAGUAGUUCUUCUCAAGCAGGCUUUAUACAGCUUAUAUUUUGCCAUGGGCUCUGCAUGGAACACAAUGUGAUGUAGUUGGCUUGCAAAUAAGGAAAAGUACAGGGGCAAAAUUAUUUAAAAGUUUCAAAGGUUUUGGAGGGACACCAAUUAGCUCAGUUGGUAGAGCAGACGUUCCAUGUACAGAGGCUGUCCUCACCGUGGGUUUGAGUCCCGGCCUGGGGCACUUUGCUGCAUGUCACUCUCCUUCUCUCUAUCAUCCUGUUUCCUGUUAUCUCUCAAGCUGCUCUGUCAAUAAAGACCAAAAAACAAACAAAAA